ACUGCGUGAAGUCGGAAUCGCUAGUAAUCGCGAAUCAGAAUGUCGCGGUGAAUACGUUCCCGGGCCUUGUACACACCGCCCGUCACACCAUGGGAGUGGGUUGCACCAGAAGUAGCUAGUCUAACCUUCGGGAGGACGGUUACCACGGUGUGAUUCAUGACUGGGGUGAAGUCGUAACAAGGUAGCCGUAGGGGAACCUGCGGCUGGAUCACCUCCUUAAU
rnacentral:rRNA from 1 species